CCUGAUGGCUCACAUGAAGUUUCGUGCCGUUCCGACCUCGUUUGAUACGGUUAUGGUUAACCACACGGCCCCUCGGGCCCGACCCGAGCCCAGUCAACGUUUUGACCCGAUCAAAUCGGCCCGUGACCCGAAACGACCCUACUUGGGCCCUACAACAGCCACGUAAAGUUUCGGGAUGAUCCGACGUUCUUUCAUGGGGUUACGGACAAUCCACGCCAAACAAGCGUCACGGGCCGACCGAGCCGGGCCAACGGGCCCUCGGGACCCGAAAACUGAAUUUUUUUUCAUCCAAACCCAUUAAAACACGUUACCGAGGUCUCACGCAAAAUUUCAUGCCAAUCCGACGUCGUUUGAUGGGGUUUUGAGAUAUUAUGAUUCCUCAAAAAUUUAAUGUCUGUUCCUGUCACUUAGCUUUUUGUGCAAAAUGUAUAUAUAGGGGAGGGGUGGGUGUUGAGCAGCCCAUGCCCGGGCAAGGCAUGCCACCGCCCAAGCCAAAGGAGGCUGGUGGCGUGCGUAUAACAGCUCAAAUGCCCCAACGAUGACCGAGAACAAGCGCCCAUCUCCCCUCCUUCCCCCCCACCAAGCGCCCCUCCCCCCCCAUGUUGCCUGCCCACUCGCACAGCUACUCGUGAUUUCAUGCCCAGCGACUAGUGAAUGUGCCUCGACGACCAGCAAACCUCGAAAAUUAUGAUUCCUCGUAAAAUUAAUGUCUGUUCCUGUCACUUUACUUUUUGUGCAAAAUGUAUAUAUAGGGGAGACCAGGGGCUUGAGCAACCCCUGUGCCCAAGCAAGGGUCAGAUGGAAGCACACGAGACGCGAGGUUUAAAGCCUAUACAAGCAAGGCGUCUGUCUCCCCAAGCCCCAUUGCCUAUAAAACAAGCCCGAUGCCUUGUAAAUGCCCCACACGAUGCCUAUAAACGACAACGAUGUUUGCUAGUUAAUCGAUCGACGCCCCACACCUUGCAGCAUGUUGCCUAGUAAACAAGCCAUGCUGCCUUGGAAGCGCCCCACAUCAUGGCAUGUUGCCUAGCACGCUGCCCUUGUUUCCAGCACGGCGACCUGAAAGCGUGGCCUGACGACGUGCUUGCCUUCGAAAAUUAUGAUUCCUCAAAAAAUUAAUGUCUGUUCCUGUCACUUUACUUUUUGU
rnacentral:rRNA from 1 species